rnacentral:rRNA from 1 species
UACAGAGGUCCCAAGCGUUGUUCGGAUUCAUUGGGCGUAAAGGGUGCGUAGGUGGCGCCCGUAAGUGGGGGUGUGAAAUCCCCGGGGCUUAACCUCGGGACUGCAUUCCAUACUGCGGUGCUUGAGGACUGGAGAGGAGACUGGAAUUUACGGUGUAGCAGUGAAUGCGUAGAGAUCGUAAGGAAGACCAGUGGCGAAGGCGGGUCUCUGGACAGUUCCUGACACUGAGGCACGAAGGCCAGGGGGAGCAAACGGG